UACGUAGGGGGCAAGCGUUGGUCCGGAUUUAUUGGGCGUAAAGAGCGUGUAGGCGGCCUGACAGGUCUGCUGUGAAACUCGAGGCUCAAACCUCGAGAUGUCGGCGGAAACCGUCUGGCUAGAGUCCGGAAGAGGAGAGUGGAAUUCCUGGUGUAGCGGUGAAAUGCGCAGAUAUCAGGAGGAACACCGGUGGCGAAGGCGGAUCUCUGGGCCGAAUUACUGACGCUGGAGGAGCGAAAGCGUGGGAGCGAACAGG
rnacentral:rRNA from 1 species